UGGCGACCGGCGCACGGGUGAGUAACACGUAUCCAACCUGCCGAUGACUCGGGGAUAGCCUUUCGAAAGAAAGAUUAAUACCCGAUGGCAUAGUUCUUCCGCAUGGUAGAACUAUUAAAGAAUUUCGGUCAUCGAUGGGGAUGCGUUCCAUUAGGUUGUUGGCGGGGUAACGGCCCACCAAGCCUUCGAUGGAUAGGGGUCCUGAGAGGAAGGUCCCCCACAUUGGAACUGAGACACGGUCCAA
rnacentral:rRNA from 1 species